ensembl:rRNA 5S_rRNA 5S ribosomal RNA
GAUUACGGCCAUACCACCUGACAACGCCCGAUCUCGUCUGAUCUCGGAAGCUAAGCAGAGUUGGGCUGGGUCAGUACUUGGAUGGGUGACCGCCUGGGAAUACCCGGUGCUGUAAGCA